rnacentral:ncRNA from 13 species
GAGUGGUAGUUCAGUUGGUUAGAAUACCGGCCUGUCACGCCGGGGGUCGCGGGUUCGAGUCCCGU